rnacentral:rRNA from 1 species
CCUACGGGAGGCAGCAGUGGGGGAUAUUGCACAAUGGGGGGAACCCUGAUGCAGCGACGCCGCGUGGGUGAAGGAGUGCUUCGGCAUGUAAAGCCCUAUCGGCAGGGAAGAAGCAAGACGGUACCUGACUAAGAAGCCCCGGCUAACUACGUGCCAGCAGCCGCGGUAAUACGUAGGGGGCGAGCGUUAUCCGGAUUCACUGGGUGUAAAGGGAGCGUAGACGGCCAGGCAAGCCAGGGGUGAAAGCCCGGGGCCCAACCCCGGGACUGCCCUUGGAACUGUGCGGCUAGAGUGCGGGAGGGGCAGGCGGAAUUCCUGGUGUAGCGGUGAAAUGCGUAGAGAUCAGGAGGAACACCGGCGGCGAAGGCGGCCUGCUGGACCGCGACUGACGUUGAGGCUCGAAAGCGUGGGGAGCGAACAGGAUUAGAUACCCCGGUAGUC